rnacentral:rRNA from 1 species
GCGGGACCGCAAGGCCUGGCGCGUCAAGGAGGAGCCCGCGUCUGAUUAGCUAGUUGGCGGGGGUAAUGGACCCACCAAGGCGACGAUCAGUAGCCGGCCUGAGAGGGCGGACGGCCACACUGGGACUGAGACACGGCCCAGACUCCUACGGGAGGCAGCAGUGGGGAAUUGUUCGCAAUGGGCGCAAGCCUGACGACGCAACGCCGCGUGGAGGAUGAAGGUCUUCGGAUUGUAAACUCCUGUUGAUCGGGACGAAAAGCUCUGACCCAACACGUCAGAGACUGACGGUACCGGUUGAGGAAGCCACGGCUAACUCUGUGCCAGCAGCCGCGGUAAUACAGAGGUGGCAAGCGUUGUUCGGAAUUACUGGGCGUAAAGGGCGCGUAGGCGGCCUUCUAAGUCGGACGUGAAAGCCCCAGGCUUAACCUGGGAACUGCGUCCGAUACUGGGAGGCUUGGAUUCGGGAGAGGGAUGUGGAAUUCCAGGUGUAGCGGUGAAAUGCGUAGAUAUCUGGAGGAACACCGGUGGC